rnacentral:rRNA from 1 species
GAUGAACGCUGGCGGCGUGCUUAACACAUGCAAGUCGAACGGAGACAUAUUUUGAAGUUUUCGGAUGGAAAGAUAUGUUCUUAGUGGCGGACGGGUGAGUAAUGUAUGAGCAACCUACCUUUAAGAGGGGGACAACAGUUGGAAACGACUGCUAAUACCGCAUAAGCCCACGGUGCCGCAUGGCACAGCGGGAAAAGGAUUUAUUCGCUUCAGGAUGGACUCGCGUCCAAUUAGCUAGUUGGUGAGGUAACGGCCCACCAAGGCGACGAUUGGUAGCCGGACUGAGAGGUUGAACGGCCACAUUGGGACUGAGACACGGCCCAG